UACGGCGGUCACAGCGUGGGGGAAACGCCCGGUCCCAUUCCGAACCCGGAAGCUAAGACCCACAGCGCCGAUGGUACUGCACCCGAGAGAGUGUGGGAGAGUAGGACGCCGCCGGAC
rnacentral:rRNA from 2 species